GGCGGCGCUACCUGCAGUCGACGGUAGCACAGAGAGCUUGCUCUCGGGUGACGAGUGGCGGACGGGUGAGUAAUGUCUGGGAAACUGCCUGAUGGAGGGGGAUAACUACUGGAAACGGUAGCUAAUACCGCAUAACGUCGCAAGACCAAAGAGGGGGACCUUCGGGCCUCUUGCCAUCAGAUGUGCCCAGAUGGGAUUAGCUAGUAGGUGGGGUAACGGCUCACCUAGGCGACGAUCCCUAGCUGGUCUGAGAGGAUGACCAGCCACACUGGAACUGAGACACGGUCCAGACUCCUACGGGAGGCAGCAGUGGGGAAUAUUGCACAAUGGGCGCAAGCCUGAUGCAGCCAUGCCGCGUGUAUGAAGAAGGCCUUCGGGUUGUAAAGUACUUUCAGCGGGGAGGAAGGUGUUGUGGUUAAUAACCACAGCAAUUGACGUUACCCGCAGAAGAAGCACCGGCUAACUCCGUGCCAGCAGCCGCGGUAAUACGGAGGGUGCAAGCGUUAAUCGGAAUUACUGGGCGUAAAGCGCACGCAGGCGGUCUGUCAAGUCGGAUGUGAAAUCCCCGGGCUCAACCUGGGAACUGCAUUCGAAACUGGC
rnacentral:rRNA from 1 species